UUAUAUUUAAAAUUUUAUUAAUUAUUUAAAUUAAUCAAAAAAGAGUAUUAUUUAUUAAUAUUUAUUAAUUAAAAGUAAUUAUUUUAGAAUUAAGAAAAAUUUUAGUAUUUUUUUUAGAAAAAAUUAAAUUUUAUUAUAAUUUAAUGUAAAUGAAAAAUUAAUUUAAUAUUAAGAAUAAAAAUUAAAAUUUUGUACCUUUUGUAUCAGGGAAAAUUAAUUAAAAGUUAUAUUUUAUAUAAUUUUCUCAAAAUUAAAUGAAUUAAAUAUUUUAUAUAUUGUAUAAUAUAAAAUUAUUAUAUUAAAUAGAUAUUUAGGGAUUAUAUGUUAGUCAAAUUUAAUUAUAUUUAGUUUUUAAGGAAAUAAAUUUAAUUUAUAUAUUUUUAAAAUUUAAUAUAUAUAUAUAUAUAUAUAUAUAUAUAUAUAUUAAUGAAAUAUUAUAAAGUUGAAAAAAAAAAUAUUAAAAAUUUAUGGGAUAAUCUAUAAAUUUUUUUAAAAUUAUGAAUAUUUAUAUAUAUAUAUAUUAUUUUAAUAGAAUUAAAAAUAUUUUUUUAUUCAAAUUAUUUAAUAAUGUAAAAAAAACUAUAAAUUUUUAUUUUUAAUUUAAUAAUUAUACUUAAAUAUAAGUUUGAAUUUAUAAAAUUUAUCAAUAAUGGUUUUAUUAGUAUAAGAAAUUAAAUAUAAGUUGAAUAAAAUUUUUAUAUUAAUUUAAAUAAUUAGGCAAAAUUUUAUAUUCACCAGUUUAACAAAAACAUGUCUUUAUGAUUUAUAAUAUAAAGUCUAACCUGCUCAAUGAUUUUUUAAAUAGCUGCAGUAUUUUUGACUGUACAAAGGUAGCAUAAUCAUUUGUCUUUUUAAUAAGGUCUAGAAUGAAGGGUUAAAUGUAAUAUAUACUGUUUUAAAAUAAAAAUUAAAAUUUUUAAUUUAAGUUAAAAUACUUAACUAUUAAUAUUAGACGAGAAGACCCUAUAGAAUUUUAUAAAUAGAUAAUUUUAAAAUUUAAUUAAAUAUAUAAAGUUAUUUAAUUAUUUUAUUGGGGGUAUAUUAAAAUUUUAAAAAUUUUUAAAGAUUUUAAACAAAUAUAAUUGGAUAUUAAAAAAAAAAAUAUGAAUAUUUAUGAAUAGUUAAUAGAUUAAAUUACCUUAGGGAUAACAGCAUAAUUUUUUUGGAAAGAUCAAAUUUAUAAAAAAGAUUAUGACCUCGAUGUUGAAUUAUGAUAAAAUUUUAUUGUAGAAAAUAAAAAAUUUUAGUCUGUUCGACUAUUUAAUCAUACAUGAUUUGAGUUCAGAUCGGUGUGAGCCAGAUCGGAUUUUAUCUAUAUUUUUAGAAAUUAUUAUUUGUACGAAAGGACUAUAAUAUUUAAAUAAUUUAUUUAAAUUUACUAAGAAUAAUAAAUAAAU
rnacentral:rRNA from 1 species